CCCUGCCUCAUACAAAUAUGCACACAUUGC
rnacentral:piRNA from 1 species